AGCAGUAGGUGUGAACUUAAAUGGACUCCAGAAGAUGGUAGAGGACAGGAAGACCUGGAGGAACAUCGUCCAUGGGGUCGCGAUGGGUUGGACACGACUUCGCAAUUAACAACAACAACAAGAAUGAAACAAUGGAGAUUUCCACAAUGAAAACACCCUCUAAUAUUUGAAUACAUUGCCACCUGCCAGCACUGACACAAGAAUGGACAUGUUCUCUAAGGCAGAAAAGCACUAACAGCUGGAAGCAACUUCCUUCUGGGAUUCAAGCAGAAAACAAGCAAGUGAACCUGCUGUUUUCAAGUGCUCCUGGUUGAAGCUACAUAUGCACCACCAAUAAAAAUAUCAAAGGAACAGAAUUUACUUAUUGACCUGUCAGCCUUCAGAAAUAACAGGAAUAGGCCAUGCAGAAGAGGGAAGUGAAAGGAGAAGUACACCAACUUUGCCCUAUUUGCUUUGGAAGACUACUCCCGAUUUGUUUUGGCUGAAAUCCAGAAGAAGCAAGAUGUUCCCUUUUUAGAAUCAGCUGGACCUUGAUAUUCCUCCACUCAACUAUGCAGCCAUUCUUCUGAGCUCCAAUAUGCUUGUUACAUAUGUGAAAAGAAUAUUUUAUUUGGGGUAUAUACCUAAUAGCAACUGUAUUCAAAAAAUGUUCUUGAAUUACCAAUUAUUAUGCAAUUACGAGAUUAUAAAGAAUGAAAAUAGAUAGCUGCAAAUGCUUACAUUUUGAGUCAGACUCAGUUUGACUUCAAAGAUGAUUUCAUGUAUUUUUUCUUUUCAAAUAAAGUAACCUAUUAUCUUACUGAUUACGUACCCAUUCAUCUUAUGUCACCCCACCCUAUCCCUACUCCCAUUUUUUUCUCAGUUGGUACACCAUAAUGAAAGAUCAAGAAGCCAAAUGUGGAUCCAAUGAAAAUAAAAAAUUACCAUCUUAUCUCUAAUUCCCCCUUACUGGGUGGGUGGUGUAGCUAAGGUUAGAGAGAACUGUGGAAAGCAAAAAGUAGGUGGACAUCUGACAAAGGCUGGUUCAUGGGAGAAAUCAUGUGGCUCAGUGUCAUGGAUGACUUUUAGUGCAACCUGAAGGAAGGUCUCAACUCUCUCAACGUUUUCAAAUCUAUCCACCAUGGCAUGUAGGUGUCUAUAAUGAGUAGGAAGGGGAGGAACUGCCUUAAUAGUUUAGCUCCUCCCUUAAAUGACCAGAUCUAGUUGAUGAUAAUGGUUCAGAUUGAGGCAGUGAAUGUAGUUCAUAAAUUAAAUAAAUUGCACCAUUAAUCUGGCUAGAGGAAUUUUAAAAAAUACAGUGAUCAUUGUUUGGUAUAGUGGUUAGAGCAUCUGGUUAGAACUGGGGGAUCAUGAAUUCUAGUCACACACAAGGCCAAAUGGGUAACCUUGGGCUAGUCACUCUCUCUGAGGCCUAGGAAGAAGGCAAUGAUAAACCACGUCUGGAAAACUCCCAGGCAGUUACCAGGAGUCAAAUAAAAAUAAAGAAUUCAUCCCCAUCUACAACAACACCAAUAUGGUUCCUAGGAAGCCCAUUAAAAUAACUAGAGAGAAUGUAAAAUGUUCCCUACUGUGUAAUGUCCUGUUUGGGAAAAUAUUCCUAACAGAAUUUAGCUGUUAGGAAUUUAGAAUUUAACUAGCGACUAUGUUAAAUUGUGUGUGCCUUGAAGGCACACACAAAAAAGAUAUUUUUCAUCUGAUUUGAACAGUGACACAAAUGUUCCCACAACUCAAUUAAUUGAUGAAAAAUUACAAGCAGCAUGAAAAUAUCAAUAAAGCAAUUUUAUGGGCUUUAGAGUGUUCAUACCACAGUAAAAUAAAAUAGAAAUAUUCUAUCCUCAAGAACCCUAUAACAUCCAGACUUCUGGUGAAAAAAUGGCCAACUGACAACACACAGAGAAAAGGAUCCCUGAAGGGGUUUUCCCUGGACUGUAGCUUUUUCAACUACCAACAGAAGGAACUGGCAUUCCUUUAGUUUAUCUGACUCUCCUGGGGUAGGGAAAGUUCUAGAAUUAUCCACAAGAUCUUCUGAUAAAACAAAGGUCUGCAAGCAGCUUCAAGAGCUCUUGCUUAGAAGUAGCUUGCAUGCCAAAAGGUGGGGGAUGGGACCUCAAUCAGUUCAUUGUAAAGAAGUAGCCAUUUUGGAAUUUAUUUUUCAAAGAGACAGUAAGUUGUGCCUUUUAUUUCUUAAUUUUUAAGGACUAUUAAUCUUUAUUCAGCUAAAAAAGGAUUCUUUAGCCACAGCCUAUUAUUCCUUUUUGAAGAUCUGUGCCAUUUGGGGGAUUUUUUCAUUGUUAAACAACUAGGAAAAAGAAUGCUAAAAGGAAGUAUGGAGCUACUUUUUAACUAAAGAGGUAGUUAAGAGGAAGGAAGGAGCAAAUUAUUAGAGAUGUAUUCAAAUAAUCUUUAAAUAAAAUCCAUUAGUUCAUAGAUCAGCUAUGCUCCAAGGACAUUAAAAAAAAGUCUCAAACUAUUUCAUUGAUGGAAAUAUGUGCAGAAAGUUACCAAACCACCAAGGUAAUUUCACAAGUAUCUGACAAUGCAGAGGAGUCAGUUGCAACUUUGGAAUAUAAACCCGAUACCAAUUUUUAUUAUGAUGGUUUAAAUAUAAAUUUCCCAACACAGUUGAAAAAGAGCUCCAAGAAAAUCUGCUACAUUUAAAAGGACAAGUUUGGGAUUUUUUCCUCAUGGACAUUAACAAGAAAAGUUUAGAGUUUUAAAAGGGAAGUAUACAAAAAGAAAAAAAUAUUCUAUGAGGGUAACUUGGUCUAAAUGUAAUGAGUCAAUUGGAGUUGGAAUUUUAUUGAUCUGAAAUUGAACUUUAAAAUAUGUAUGUUAAAGGAAAUUUUAAAAAAGAUGUAUUGGAAUGUUUUGAUUUUAGAAAUGUUUUUAAAGAAAAGUUUAGUGUUUUA